rnacentral:rRNA from 1 species
AUUGAACGCUAGCGGGAUGCCUUACACAUGCAAGUCGAACGCAGUGGGGACGGGUGAGUAACCCGUGGGUAACCUCCCAUCAGAGGGGAUAACACUUGGAAACAGGUGCUAAACCGAUACUGAUGGAUGGACCCGCGGUGCCUUAGCUAGUUGGUGAGGUAACGGCUCACCAAGGCCACGAUGCAUAGCCGACCUGAGAGGGUGAUCGGCCACACGGGGACUGAGACACGGCCCAGACUCCGACGGGAGGCAGCAGUAGGGAAUCUGCGGGGAUGGACGAAAGUCUGACAGAGGAACGCGAGGUUAGUGAAGAAGGUGUUAGGAUCGGAAAGCUCGGUUGGUAGGGAAGCGGUAUCUAACCAGAGAGCCAGGGCUAACUACGGGCCAGCAGCCGCGGUAAUAC